rnacentral:tRNA from 1 species
GUUGGAGUAGCUUAGUUGGUUAGAGCGUGUGGCUGUUAAGCACGAGGUCAGAGGUUAGAGCCCUCCUUCUAGUG